CAGGAUUUGGAGCCUUGUAGAUCAUGCUCUAAUAGCGAGAUGUAAUAUGGACGAGCCAAUCCGAUGUGCCGCUGUCAAUGCCGACGGAGUCCACCUCGCCCUUGGAAUGAAGGAUGGGUCACUCACUGUCCUUAGAGUGAGAGAUAUGACUGAAGUUGUACAUAUUAAAGACAGGAAAGAAGCAAUCCAUGAGCUGAAAUAUUCUCCAGAUGGCACUUACCUUGCGGUUGGCUGCAAUGACAGCUCAGUUGACAUCUAUGGAGUUGCUCAGCGUUACAAAAAAGUGGGUGAAUGCGUCGGUUCCCUUAGCUUCAUCACUCAUUUGGAUUGGUCUUCAGACAGUAAAUACUUACAGACAAAUGACGGCAGUGGGAAACGACUUCU
rnacentral:lncRNA from 1 species